CCUACGGGGGGCUGCAGUGGGGAAUAUUGGACAAUGGGCGAAAGCCUGAUCCAGCCAUGCCGCGUGUGUGAAGAAGGCCUUCGGGUUGUAAAGCACUUUCAGUGGGGAAGAAAGCCUUGGGGCUAAUACCCUCGAGGAAGGACAUCACCCACAGAAGAAGCACCGGCUAACUCCGUGCCAGCAGCCGCGGUAAUACGGAGGGUGCGAGCGUUAAUCGGAAUUACUGGGCGUAAAGCGCGCGUAGGCGGUCUGAUAAGCCGGUUGUGAAAGCCCCGGGCUCAACCUGAGAACGGCAUCCGGAACUGUCAGGCUAGAGUGCAGGAGAGGAAGGUAGAAUUCCCGGUGUAGCGGUGAAAUGCGUAGAGAUCGGGAGGAAUACCAGUGGCGAAGGCGGCCUUCUGGACUGACACUGACGCUGAGGUGCGAAAGCGUGGGUAGCAAACAGGAUUAGAUACCCUGGUAGUC
rnacentral:rRNA from 1 species